rnacentral:snRNA from 1 species
AUCGCUUCUCGGCCUUUCGGCUAAGAUCAAAUGUAGUAUCAUAUGUCUUCUCUCAGCCUUUUGGCCAAGAAUAAGCAGUCCUUAGCUUCUCGGCCUUUUGGCUAAAAUCAAGUGUAUUAUCGCUUCAAUUCAAUUCAUUAUUCAAAAUAAUCACAGACCACACUGCACAAACGCAUCUGGGUCCGUAGCCUAU